rnacentral:rRNA from 1 species
AAAGAGGAGUGGCGAACGGGUGAGUAACACGUGAGGUAACCUGCCCAUCAGAAGGGGAUAACACUUGGAAACAGGUGCUAAUACCGUAUAACAAUCGAAACCGCAUGGUUUUGAUUUGAAAGGCGCUUUCGGGUGUCGCUGAUGGAUGGACCCGCGGUGCAUUAGCUAGUUGGUGAGGUAACGGCUCACCAAGGCCACGAUGCAUAGCCGACCUGAGAGGGUGAUCGGCCACAUUGGGACUGAGACACGGCCCAAACUCCUACGGGAGGCAGCAGUAGGGAAUCUUCGGCAAUGGACGAAAGUCUGACCGAGCAACGCCGCGUGAGUGAAGAAGGUUUUCGGAUCGUAAAACUCUGUUGUUAGAGAAGAACAAGGAUGAGAGUAACUGUUCAUCCCUUGACGGUAUCUAACCAGAAAGCCACGGCUAACUACGUGCCAGCAGCCGCGGUAAUACGUAGGUGGCAAGCGUUGUCCGGAUUUAUUGGGCGUAAAGCGAGCGCAGGCGGUUUCUUAAGUCUGAUGUGAAAGCCCCCGGCUCAACCGGGGAGGGUCAUUGGAAACUGGGAGACUUGAGUGCAGAAGAGGAGAGUGGAAUUCCAUGUGUAGCGGUGAAAUGCGUAGAUAUAUGGAGGAACACCAGUGGCGAAGGCGGCUCUCUGGUCUGUAACUGACGCUGAGGCUCGAAAGCGUGGGGAGCAAACAGGAUUAGAUACCCUGGUAGUCCACGCCGUAAACGAUGAGUGCUAAGUGUUGGAGGGUUUCCGCCCUUCAGUGCUGCAGCUAACGCAUUAAGCACUCCGCCUGGGGAGUACGACCGCAAGGUUGAAACUCAAAGGAAUUGACGGGGGCCCGCACAAGCGGUGGAGCAUGUGGUUUAAU